AUUUUUACAAUGAAGAGUUUGAUCCUGGCUCAGGAUGAACGCUAGCUACAGGCUUAACACAUGCAAGUCGAGGGGCAGCAUGGUCUUAGCUUGCUAAGGCUGAUGGCGACCG
rnacentral:rRNA from 1 species